UACGAAGGGGGCUAGCGUUGUUCGGAAUUACUGGGCGUAAAGCGCACGUAGGCGGAUAUUUAAGUCAGGGGUGAAAUCCCGCAGCUCAACUGCGGAACUGCCUUUGAUACUGGGUAUCUCGAGUAUGGAAGAGGUGAGUGGAAUUGCGAGUGUAGAGGUGAAAUUCGUAGAUAUUCGCAGGAACACGAGUGGCGAAGGCGACUCACUGGUCCAUUACUGACGCUGAGGAGCGAAAGCGUGGGGAGCGAACAGG
rnacentral:rRNA from 1 species